rnacentral:lncRNA from 1 species
AGAGCUGAUCAAGGGAACCUCAACAAACAACCCCAGCCAUGGAGGCGGCGGUGUCUUUGAAGACCCCAUGAGAGCAUCAAACAAGGGAGAGAGCCUGGAACAAAUCAUGGUAGUAAAAUGGCGGCAGAGAGCUAGUAAUGUGUCUGCAAUUGGUGGGUUCUUGGUCGCACUGACUUCAAGAAUGAAGCCGCGGACCCUCACGGUAUUUCUCCCAGAAAGUUCCCUGAAGCACUUCUAAUCCUUUACUUUGCAAAGAUUCUGCCU